rnacentral:tRNA from 1 species
GGAGAUAUAGCUCAGUGGUUCCAGAGCCUGCCUUGCAAGUGCAAGGACCCGAGUUCGAUCCCCAGUAGCACCA